rnacentral:snoRNA from 1 species
ACACAUGAUGAUUUCCUCGACGGGCGGACAUAAAGGAAUCGCCUUUGGCGCUUGUUGCUGAUUGUCGAGUACUGAGUGU